rnacentral:rRNA from 1 species
GACGAACGCUGGCGGCGUGCUUAACACAUGCAAGUCGAACGGAAAGGCCCUGCUUUUGUGGGGUGCUCGAGUGGCGAACGGGUGAGUAACACGUGAGUAACCUGCCCUUGACUAUGGGAUAACUUCAGGAAACUGGGGCUAAUACCGGAUCGGAGCUCCUGCUGCAUGGUGGGGGUUGGAAAGUUUCGGCGGUUGGGGAUGGACUCGCGGCUUAUCAGCUUGUUGGUGGGGGAGUGGCUUACCAAGGCUUUGACGGGUAGCCGGCCUGAGAGGGUGACCGGCCACAUUGGGACUGAGAUGCGGCGCAGACUCCUACGGGAGGCAGCAGUGGGGAAUAUUGCACAAUGGGCGGAAGCCUGAUGCAGCAACGCCGCGUGCGGGAUGACGGCCUUCGGGUUGUAAACCGCUUUCGCCUGUGACGAAGCGUGAGUGACGGUAAUGGGUAAAGAAGCACCGGCUAACUACGUG